rnacentral:lncRNA from 10 species
AGGUCAGCCACCUGCAGCCAAGGAGAGAGGCCUCUGAGGAAACCAACCCUGCCAGCACUUUGAUCUUGAACUUCCAGCCUCCAGAACUGUGAGAAAGUAUAUUCCUGUUGUUUAAGCCACCCAGUCUAUGGCAUUUUGUUUUGGCAGCUUUAGCAGACUAAUAUACUUCCCCAUUCCCCCACAGUGCUUCCUGGGGUCAAUUCUCAGAUAAAUGAUUUGCACUUUAAUCCUUAUCUCAGGGGCCAGGUGGGAGGGGGCUCACGCCUGUAAUCCCAGCACUUUGGGAAGCCGAGGUGGGCAGAUCACCUGAGGUCAGGAGUUCAAGAGCAGCCUGACCAACAUAGUGAAACAUCGUCUCCACUAACUUUACAAAAUGUAGCUGGGUGGGGCGGCACAUUGCUGUAGUCCCAGCUACUCAGGAGGCUGAGGCAGGAGAAUCCCUUGAACCCGGGAGGUGGAGGUUGCAGUGAACUGAGAUCGUGCCACUGCACUACAGCCUGGGUGACAGAGUGACUUCGUCUAAAAAAAAAAAAAUUAUCUCAGGAAACCAACUCGCAGACCAACAACGCAUAUAUGGUGGGACAUAGACCCCAAGUAAGAGUGAAGCGAAGACUCAACUUUAACCACCACCCUCUAAGUUUCUUUUGAGGAGCUUGGAGAACGUCACUCCCUGUGGGUCUAAGUGGUACAGGCGCUAAAAAAUUAUUUAGGCAGAUAGUGAGGGUAAGGAAGUCCUCGGCUGUUUCCCUUUUAACAAAAAGCAGUCCCUAAAUCAUUUAUUUUCUAACAAAGAGCAGCCUGUAAAAUCGAGCUGCAGACAUAGAUAAGCAAGCUGGAAGCUUGCAUGGGUGAAUGCAGCAGCUGUGCCAAUAGGAAAAGGCUACGUGGCGGCCAGGCAUGUUCAACAUGGCGGCUCCAUCUUCCCUUUUCUUUGUCAACUAGGUGUACAGUAAGGAACCGACAACAUCACACCGGCCAGGUAGAGAAGCCAUUUGCAUAAUAGAAGAUUAGGGUGGGGUGGCCAGCUUCUUUGCGCGCUUUGUAAACAUCACACCUAGUCCACCAAUCUUUGGGCCCUAUGUAAAUUAGACAACACCUCCUCAAGCCAGUCUAUAAACCCUCCCCUCCCCGCACAUGCAUUUCACCGCAAAACCCAAAGACCCACUUAGGUGUCCCCUCUCUCCGCAGAAGAGAGAGCUUUUCCCUUUCUCUCUGUUAAACCUCUUCUCUUAAACUCACUUCUUGCGUGUCCUCGUCCUCGAUUUCCUUGGCGUAAGACGACGAACCUCAGGCAUUUACCCCAGACAACGAAGGUGCUUCAUAAGGUCAUGCAGCUGGGUCAACAUAGGACUGUGUAGCCAAGAGCUACAGGAUGGAUUGCUGAGGCCAGGGAGAUUGAAAGGAAGUCACAGCCCAAUCUCAGAGGGAUCCACGGAGCCAGCGAAAGCUAAGGCGGGACUUACCCAACAGAGGGUCCUGGCCCAGUCACCCAGUGGCACAACCCAACUGGGAGAUCUGAGCAUCUACCAACUGUGGCCACCAGUGAGAUGGUGUCAUUGUCUGGGAGGCCAGCAGAAGUCUCAGUGAUCGGGCAGGACAAAGGACAUUUCUGCAGAGAAUACUGAAGGUCCAGGAGACAGCACAGUGGGACAUAUGUGGGCCCCUGCCCCAUCAUUAGGAGGAAGUGUAGGCUUUUCUGAGGACCUGGAUGCCAUACCAUCUUGAGACAGAGAAUGAGGAACCAACCCUUGACAAGAGAGAGAUGGCCCUGGUAGAGAAUUUGAACCUUGAAUUGGAUUGAAUAUUUAUCCAAAAGAAAUUGAACCAGCACUAGAGAGACUGUUUUGAACUAGAAGUAACCAAGUUACCUUAACUGGAAGUUAGGAUUUUUCCACCCCUGACAUCAGUGGGACAAGGGCACAUGAGCAAGAUAUUUACGGACAAAGAAGAACGUUCAUGUUUUGUACACCUGCUUUGUAGUAUGUUGCAGAUACCGUUGGUUCCCCUGAUUUCAGGUGUUCUCGUUCUUUCUGUACAGUCACUUGCUCAGGGCAAAUGGUCCUCUCCUGCAUGACUCAGAAGCACAUACUGAUUAUUCUAAACUGGUCUUCAUGCCCCGUUCCCUUGUCAGUGAUGUAGUUAGGCAAAGGAUUAUGUAACAAUUCUGGCUAUGAGACAUUGAAACUUCUACUGUGGGGCAUCUGGGAAGAUUUUUCUCAUUGAAAAGAAGAGACGCAGGGUGUGGAGACUCAUGCCUGUAAUCCGAGCCCUUGGGAGGCCCAGGAGGGAGGGUCACCUGAGUCCAAGAGCUCAAGGCCAGUUCGAGCAACAUACCAAGGCUGCAAUAAACAAGCAAACAAACAAACAAACAUUAGCUGGGCACGGUAGUGCACACCUGUAGUCCCAGCUACUCAGGAGGCUGAAAUGGGAGGAUUGCUUGAGCCCAGGAGUUUGAGGCUGCAGUGAGCUAUGAUUGCACCACUGCACUUCAGCCUGGGCAACAGAGCGAGAUCCUGUCUCUAUAAAAAAAUUUUAAAAAAAGGAAGAAAAGAAAAGAAGAGACACACGUGGAAGAAACAGUCUCUAUUCUGAUGCAAGUAAUGACUGGAACUGUGGCAGACAGCUUGGAACCAUGAGAGGAGUUAACUGAGGGCUAUCAGGGAAACUAGAAGAAGCCUGGGUCCUUGAGGAGGCAGACUACUAAAUGGACCAUCGUCCCUUCACCCUUUUUGUUAUGUGAGAUAAUAAACUCUCUAAUUUAAAUCUACUUGAGAUGAAUAUCUGAUACUUGUAGCCAAAAUCAUCCUUAAUGGGACAGAGUGUGGGUAAAUUAUCAACCUUGCUAGCCUUGCCUCAUAAUUUUUGAAUUUAUUUUUAUCUUUUAAUUUUGUUUAUUUUUUAUUUUUAAAGUAGAGACAGGAUCUCAUUAUGUUGCUCAGGCUGGUCUCGAAUCCCUGGCCUCAAGGGAUCCUCCUGCCUCAGCCUCCUAAAGUGCUGAGAUUACAGGUAUGAGCCCCUAUGCCAGGCCAUUGCUUUGCCAUUGUAUCCAUGUGAUUGCAAAAAAGAAAAUCGUGCUAAUAGUCAUUAGCUUUGAAAGACACUUGGAAUUUCUUCCUUCAAGCGAGCUUUAUUCCCAAACUGUUGAACCCUCUGGGUUUGACAGCAGGAUCUACUUCACAUGGUAGCAUCUCCUUCUAUUUGCCUUCAAGACAUUUCCUAAGGGAAGAGAUGAAGACACACUUGUAACGUGAACAAAAUAAUCCUUUUUCCUUUUAAAAAUGUAUGAUUAAAAUGUAAAAUAUAUAUAUAUAUUCUUAAAUGUAAAAUAUAUAUAUAUAUCUUCUAGAGUUGCCUGGAAAGUGAGCUGAGAGCAGUUAAACAUCAAACCCACUGCUGCUUUCCAGCUUUAACCAGAAUCACCAUUGUCUUUCCCUAUGAAAGAAAGGAAAUCUUAGAACUUAAAAGGAUUUCAAGAAGAACUGAAUUUUAACCACUGAGAUGACCAGAGAUGUAAGGCUCACACUGACUGAAGCAGUAUAAUUUGGCUGUCUUUUUAACAUUCAGAAUUCUCUCUGACUCUCCAAAAUUGCAUCUACUUUGAUGAGCUUAUUUUUUUCCUCAACCAAAUUACAUUUCUUGGAGUUCACCUGAUACAUCAUGCCUACUUACUUUUUUUUUUAGAUGGAGUCUUGCUCUGUCACCCAGGCUGGAGUGCAGUGGUGCAAUCUCGGCUCAUUGCAACCUCUGCCUCCCAGGUUCAAGUGAUUCUCCUGCCUCAGCCCCCCAAGUAGCUGGGAUUACAGGUGCGUGCCACCACGCCCAGCUAAUUUUUGUAUUUUUAGUAGAGACAGGGUUUCGCCAUGUUGGUCAGGCUGGUCUCGAACUCCUGACCUCAAGUGACCCACCUGCCUUGGCCUCCCAAAGCGCUGGGAUUACAGGGGUAAGCCACCAUGUCCAGCCCUGCCUACUUACUUUGAACAAAUUAUUUCAGGCUAAUUUACUAGCUGGAGAGAAAGAGGGAGGGAAGCAGGGAGGAAGCAAAGAUAGAGGGAGAGAAAGAGAGGGAGACAGAGAGGAAGAGGGAGAGGGAGAGGAGAGAGAGAGAAAGAAUGAAUUGUGUUCUCCCAAAAUUAGUAUGUUGAAGUCUUAAUAUCCCAGUACCUCAGACUAUGACUGUAUCUGUAGAUAGGGCUUUUGAAAAGGUGAUUAUGUUUAAAUGAGGCCAUUGGGGUGGGCCCUAAUCCAGUCCAACUGUUGUCAUUGUAAGAAGAAGAGAUUAGGACACAGAGAUACCAGGCAUGUGCGUGCCCAGACAGACAACUAUGUGAAGAGACAACAAUAGGUCAGCCAUCUGCAAGCUGAGGAGAGAGGCCUCAGAGGAAACCAACCCUGCCGGCACCUUGAUCUUGGAGUUCCAGCCUCCAGAACUUGCUGCUUGAGCAUCCACACAACAUGGCGCUAGCUUCCCCCAGAGUGAGUAAUCCAGAAUGAAGAAGACAGAAACCACAAUAUCCUUUAUGAACUGGCCUUAUAAGUAAUAUUUUGUCAUUUCCAUAAAGUCCUAUUGGUUACACAAGACUGCCGUAUUCAAUAUAAGAGUGACAACACAUGGGGAUAAAUACUUGGAGGUGUAAAUCAUUGGGAACCAUCCUGGAAGUUGCCUACAAUACUAGGAUCUAUGGCUACAAUUCCCUGGGUCUUGGCUUCAAGACAGAGAAAAGGGAAAGAACAUGAAACAGCCCCAUGUGGUUUUUGUUUUUUUUUUAAUGGACAAGAGUAAGAAAUGGUGAACAUUUCUUCUACUCAUAUUCUACAGUUAGAAUUUGGUCACAUAAUGUAUCUAACUAUGAAGGUAGCUAGGUAAUAUCAUCUCUUGUUGGGAGGGUAGCUGGGAAUACCUCUAUACAAUGGAAGGAAGAGCAUGAACUUUUGGUGGAGAGAUAAUGCUCUCUGCCAUGAUAAAAUGAAAAAAAUAACAUAUGCAGAAUGGUCAACAUAACAGCAUGAAGCAAAUGCACAAUGAAUGAUAAUCAUAAUAUAGUGCUCUUUUGAUAAUCUAGUGCAUACCCAGAACCUGGGAGGUAUUUGGUUUUAAUACAUGUUUGUUGUAUGAAUACGUGAGUUAAGGUAAUGGAUGCAAAAAUGGUAUAAAUAGGAGGAAUUAUAAUUGAUAUUUCUUGAGUUAGCAUGUUUCAUUGGCUAUCUUUAUGGAGGUCCAGACCCUCCUCCGAAGGUGGAUAUUACUGUUCCGAUUUCAAUUGGUCAAAUAGAGACCAAGAGACUUUAGGCAACUUGUUUUAGAUUUGGCACUGAAUGGCGGGAAAGUGCAGAUUUUCUGAGUACUAUGUCUGGGCUCUUUGCUAUAAGCACUAUUGAUUUGAAUGGAUAAGAACAGAAAAGUCCUUUGCUCAGAGGAGAAUCAGGGCCACUGUAUCAGUCAGGGUCCAAUCAAGAGGCAGAAACUAUACCAGUUAUUUAAUUUCAUUUAUUUAUUUAUUAUUAUUUUUUAGAGAUGUGGUCUUGCUGUGUUGCUCAGGCUGUUCUCGAACUCCUGGGCUCAAGCAAUCCACCUGCCUUGACCUCCCAAACUGCUGGGAUUACAGGUGUGAGCCACUGUGCCUGGCCCCGUACCAGUUAUUUUAACAGAGAGAAUUUAGUAUGGCCCAGGCGCAGUGGUUCAAGCCUGUAAUCCCAGCACUUUGUGAGGCUGAGCAGGGAGGAUCACUUGGACCCAGGAGUUUGAGACCAGCCUGGGCAACAUAUUGAGAGUCCACUUAAGAAAAAGAAUUUAAUAUAAAGAACUUUUUUCUUUUCUUUUUUUUUUUUUUGAGAUAGAUGGAGUCUCACUCUGUUGCCCAGGCUGGAGUGCUGUGGCGUGAUCCCAGCUCACCGCAACAUACGCCUCCUGGAAUCAAGCACCUCUCCCGCCUCAGCCUCCGGAGCAGCUGGGAUUACAGGCACUCGCUAACACGCCUGGCUAAUUUUUGUAUUUUAGUAGAGGCAGGGUUUCACCAUGUUGACCAGGCUGGUCUCAAACUGCUGACCUCAAGUGAUCCCCUGUCCUCGGGCUCCCAAAGUGCUGGGAUUACAGGCAUGAGCCACCACGCCUGGCCGAGAAUUGUUAACUAGGAAUCAAGUUGAUAACCAGGCAACUAAAAAGGAAAAAAAAACAACAAAACAAAACCAACCCAACAACAAUAUUAAUGUAUCACAGAAGAAGCAACUGAAGGAAACAGCUAUACUCAGAGGUCUGGGGGAACAAUGAGAAAAGGUUGGCAUUAACACUUAGAAUCAGCCAAGUGCAGUGGCUCAUAUCUGUAAUCCCAGAGACUCAGGAGACCAAGGUGGGAGGAUUGCUUGAAGCCAGGAGUUUGAGACUAGACUGGGCAACAUAGUGAGACCCUGUCUCUACAAAACAUAAUAAAAUUGGCCAGGCAGAGUGGCAUUCACCUGUGGUCCCAGCUACUCGGGAGGUUGAGGUAGGAGGAUCACUAGAGCCCAGUUACAGUGAGUAUGACUCACUGUAACUACACUCCACUACACUCCAGCCUGGGAGACAGAGUGAGACCCUGUCUCAAACAAACAAACAAACAAACCAAAAAAUCACUAGAAUAAUAGGAGAAAAGUGCCCUGCAAACUGAAACUCAGAUCUCUAAGGAGGGACGGGGGUUGGAGUCUUUGAGGGGUGCAAUUAGACUGGUUCUGCCAGUGUUAGGAAAACUGCAAACUGGAUUGAGAUGCUGCUAUGGGAAGGAACUGCCAUUGCAGGAGAAAGGAAGCCUUGCUAGGAGAGUGUUCACAGGAACAGAAAGAGCAAGUUCCUUUUUCCUCCAGCCUUGCAGUUCCCCUCUAACACCCCCAUGGGUAGAACCUCACAGGAAGCAGCUGGAACAGCAGAAAUAUGCUUUUCCCAAUUCCAACUCUUGUAUCACAAAGCAGAAUACAGAAGGUUGGGUUUGGAGUUGAGAGAUAACAACUAAAUAAUAGCUGGCACAAGGCCCACCUGAUCAGAAAUUAAUCUCACCUCCUUGGGGAUAAGGGCUUUGGGUGGGAGGAAAGGAGGCUCUUGAACUCAUGGGCAUUGAGCACGUGACUAGUUGUCUUAGAGAAAAUGUGCCACCCUGCAGGGCCGCCUGAAAGCUUGUACAAGUGCCUGAGGAAAGCCGGAUUUGGCAGGCUGCAACCACGGUGGAUGACAGCUGAAGGAGAAUUACAGCAGCAGCAUUGCUCUGGGGGAAGCCAGCUGUCAUGUGACAAACAGCUCUCCACAGAGGAUUAUGGGGCAUGUAACUGAGGCCUCCAGCCAGCGGCCACGUCAGUGAGUUUGGAAAUAGGUCCUCUAGCCCAGUUGAGCCUUCAGAAGACGACAUGAGGAUUUGCUGCAGUUCUGCCCAACAUCUUGAUUUCAAGCUCAUGAGACAGCCUAAGCCCAAACCACCCAGCUAAGCCAUUCCUAGAUUCCUGACCCAAAGAAACUAUGUGAGAUUAUGUGUCUGGUAUUUUAAGCACUAAGUUCUGGGAUAAUUUGUUUUGAAGCAAUAGUUAAGAAAUACAAUGAGAUAACACUAAACGCAAUGAGAGAGCACUAAACACUAUACUUGGUGUAGAUAAGGUCAUGGAGCCACAGGAAUGCUCAUUUUGUGCUAGUGGAAAAGGAAAUUGGAAAAACCAUUUUGCAAUGUAUAACCAGGUGGCAAUAUCUACAGUUUUAAAGCUAUGCCUAUUAUAUGAUCUCACAGUUCCACUUCUAGGUAUAUAGUGCAUGAUCCUGUGCACAGGAGACAUGCACAUGAAUAUUCAUAGCAGGAAUGUUUGUAGUAGCCUCAAAUUGGAAACCAUCCACAUAUCCAUCAGUAAUGGAAUGGAUAAAUAAGUUUUGGUAGCAGUUGAGCCUUGAACAACACGAGUUUAAACUAUGUGGGUCCACUUAAUAUGCACAUUUUCUGGGUCCACUUAUAUGCAGAUUUUCUUCUACCUCUGCUACCCCUGAGAUGGUAAGACCAUCUUCCUUGAUCCACUUCCACAGUAAAUACAUUUUCUCUUUCUUAUGAUUUUCUUAAUAUCAUUUUCUUUUCCCUAAGCUUACUUGAUUGUAAGUGUACAGUAUGUGAUAAAAAUAACAUGCAAAAUAUGUGUUAAUCAACUGUUAAUGAUCAGUUAAUACUUCUGGUGAACAGUAGGCUGUAAGUAGUUAAGUUUUGGGGAAGUCAAAAGCAUAUGCAGAUAUUUGACUGUGUGGGGUGUUGGUAUCCCUAACCUCGUGCAUUGUUCAAGGGUCAAUUGUAUUUGUACAAUAAAAUGUUAUACAGCAAGGGUUGGAAGAUUUGUUCUGUUAAGGGCCAGAGAGUCAAUAUUUUAGGCUUUAAGGGCUGUACAGUCUCUGUCAUACCUAGUCAACUCUGCUGUUGUAGUAUGUAAGCAGCCACAGAGAAUAGGGAAAUGAAUAAGCAUGGCUAUAUUUCAAUUAUACUUUAUUUACAAAACAGAUGGGGAACUGGAUUUGGCACAGGGGCCACAGUUUUCUGACCAUUACUCUAUAAUAUUGAGAGUAAAAGGGGCCAGGUGCAGUGGCUCACAUCUGUGAUCCCAGCACUUUGGGAGGCUGAGGCAGGAGGAUUGCUUGAGGCCAGUAGAUCAAGACCAGUCUGGGCAACAUGGCGAGACCCCAUGAUAUGGUUUGGAUGUGUGUCCCUCCUCAAAUCUCAUGUCAAAUUGUAAUUCCCAGUGUUGGAGGAGAGGCCUGGUGGGAGGUGAUUGGAUCAUGGGGACAGGCUUUCCCCUUGCUGUUCUUGUGAUAGUGAGUUCUCAUGAGAUCUGGUUGUUUAAAAGUGUGUGGCACCUCCCCCUUCUCUCUCUUCUUCCUGCUCUGGCCACAUAAGACAAGCCUACUUCCACUUCACCUUCUGUCAUGAUUGUAAGUUUCCUGAGGCUUCCCCCACCAUGCUUCCUGUAGAGCCUACAGAACCAUGAGCCAAUAAACCUCUUUUCUUUAUAAAUUACCCAGUCUCAGGUAUUUCUUCAUAGCAGUGUGAGAAUGGACUAAUAUACCCCAUCUCUACAAAAAAAUUUAAAAAAUUAGCCAGGUGUGGUGGUGUGUGCUUGUGGUCCCAGCUACUUGGGAGGCUGAGAUGGGAGGAUCUUUUUAGCCCAGGAUGUGGAGGCUGCAGUGAGCCAUGCUCAGGAUUUUAGUCUGUUCUCACGCUGCUAAUAAAGACAUACCUGAGACUGGGUAAUUUAUAAAGGAAAGAGGUUUGAUGGACUCACAGUUCCACGUGGCUGAGGAGGCCUCACAAUUAUGGUAGAAGGUGAAGGAGGAGCAAAAUCAUGUCUUACAGGGCGGCAGGCAAGAGAGCAUGUGCCAGGAAACUGCCCUUUAUAAAACCAUCAGAUCUCACGAGACUUAUGCACUAUCAUGAGAACAGCACGAGAAAGAUCUGCCUCCAUGAUUCAAUUACCUCCCACAGCGUCCCUCCCAUGACACACGGGAAUUAUGAGAGUUACAAUUCAAGAUGAGAUUUGGGUGGGGACACAGCCAAACCAUAUCACUCAGGUUGGGUGACAGAGCAAGGCCCUGUCUCAAAAAAAUAAACAAGUAAAAUAAUAAAAAAAGAGAGAAUGAAAGAGCCCAGGUACAAACAAGAACAUAGAUAAGUCUUUGAAAAGUAUUGAAUGAAAGAAAUCGGACAUAAAAUAUGUACUCCUAUUUAUAAAAAGUUCAAAAGCAUGAAAAAUGAGACGAUAUUGUUGAGGGAGCAUCUUGAGGAGGUGAAACUAGAAGGCAAAACAAGGAAUUGAGUCUUUAAAAUGCCAGGAUUGUUGUUACUUUGGAGGGUAGAUAGGGGUGUGUAAUUGAGAAGGGGUACCUAAGGGACUCAUGGGGUGCUGGCAAUAACCUUAUUUAUUAAUCUGUUGGGGGUUUCACAGGUGUUUAUACAAUCUGGUAAGUUGUAUAUUUGUGUUUUGUGUUCUUUUCUGUAUUUGCAUUCUAUUUCUCAAUAAAUUGUUGAAGAAAAAUGAAUAUUAAGA